ensembl:miRNA xtr-mir-103-1 xtr-mir-103-1
UUCUCAUUUCCUUUGGCUUCUUUACAGUGCUGCCUUGUUGCAUAUGGAUCAAGCAGCAUUGUACAGGGCUAUGAAGGAUCUGAGA